GCCAGUUCGGUAUCGGCUUGUUUAAAGCUUUAGUCACGGUUUAUAGUUAUAACAGAGAAUUGCUUCUCUGAAAUUUUAUUAAAAAAAAAAAAAUUAUUUUUGCAAUUUCGAUAAAAAUUGCAAUUAGUGUAAUUUUCACGCGAUUCUUCUUGCUCGAAGGCUAUCGAUCGUGUCGUGCUGUUACGCGUGUUUUUGCAUAUACAUUGUGAAAUUUGUGAGCUUUGCCACAAUUCCACGUUAUCCGUAUUAGAAUCAGAAAAAUACAUAUAUCAUCUCACAUCAUGGAGAAUGCUGAAGAAACCACCGGACAAAGAGGACAAAAGCUGCAAAACGAUGUAAAAGAUGAAUUACUUGACGAGGUAGAAGAGACCAAGAAAGAGGAGAAAGAAGAAUCGCCGAAAAAGAAUUUCAGAUAUUAUUUCAACAGAUUUCGAUACUAUCAUUAUUAUUACACUGUGAAAAUUGAGACCUUUGUCACAGUGAUAAUCAUAUGGAUCAUUAAAAUUCAGUUAUACUUUCUGGGUUACAGAGUUGAUGGAUUCCCUUCGUUUGAGGAUAAUUAAAUUUCCGGAAUCGAGGAAUAGUAAUAUCGCUACGUUUAUUAAAUAAUCGCGAGUGUGCUUCAAUGAAAAUUCGUUAAACACGAACGAGAAUCGUGGAAGCAGAAUUUCGGAGGAGUAAGAUGAUUGUCGCGUUAUCCUAAUCGAAGCAUGGAGUGUGAAUAAAACUCUUAAAAUGAUGAAAAAAAAAGGAUAACAAUUUUCCUCAUUUCAUUUGAAUGUCUCUGACCUGAUAUCCUUGCAGAACUUCCGCGCUUUAGAUAUGUUCGACCGUGUGUAUUGCCGUUUCGCAGAGAACCUCAAAUAUUCACGAACCGAUUGUAAAAGAUGCAGUCCAAUCUCCGCGAGGUGCUGCACAUAAUGGAAGCUUCUUUGAAAAAUUUCUCUGCCACAUAUACUGUUAUCCGAUAAAAGUUGCCUGGCUCGGUCACUCAUUCGAAACAUUUUAAAUGUUACCUACGAACCUCACGUAGCGCCUUCAUUGCUGUGUUUUCUUUUUCUUUUUUUUUUUUUCACUUCUAGUCGGUCCCAGAAGAAUGCGGAUAUUCGAACAAGCAAACUUUUCUUCAGUUCAAACCAGACACGAGUGAAUUUUUUAACUCAUCUUUUUUUCCGCCCU